UCGGCGACCGGCGCACGGGUGCGUAACGCGUAUGCAACUACCCAUUACAGGGGGAUAACACUGAGAAAUCGGUACUAAUACCCCAUAACAUCCAGGGAGGCAUCUUCUUGGGUUGAAAACUCCGGUGGUAAUGGAUGGGCAUGCGUUGUAUUAGUUAGUUGGUGGGGUAACGGCUCACCAAGACAACGAUACAUAGGGGGACUGAGAGGUUAACCCCCCACAUUGGUACUGAGACACGGACCAAACUCCUACGGGAGGCAGCAG
rnacentral:rRNA from 1 species